rnacentral:rRNA from 1 species
GACGAACGCUGGCGGCGUGCUUAACACAUGCAAGUCGAACGGAAAGGCCCUGCGUUUGUGGGGUGCUCGAUUGGCGAACGGGUGAGUAACACGUGAGUAACAUGCCCUUGACUGUGGGAUAACUUCAGGAAACUGGGGCUAAUACCGGAGAGGAGCUCCUGCAGCAUGGUGGGGGUUGGAAAGUGUCGGCGGUUGGGGAUGGACUCGCGGCUUAUCAGCUUGUUGGUGGGGUAGUGGCUUACAAAGGCUUUGACGGGUAGGCGGCCUGAGAGGGUGACCGGCGACAUUGGGACUGAGAUACGGACCAGAAUGCUACGGGAGGCAGCAGUGGGGAAUAUUGCACAAUGGGCGGAAGCGUGAUGAAGAGACGCCGCGUGCGUGAUGCCGGCCUUCGAGUUGUAAACCGCUUUCGAAUGUGACGAAGCGUGAGUGACGGUAAUGGGUAAAGAAGCACCGGCUAACUACGUG